UCGUAAACUGGAUUCGUACUUAAACUUGUUGGUGGAAAAAUUCAACCAAAGAACAUAGAAAUCUGCCAACAAAACUGAACCUGGAUCGCAGCUGACCUACAUUGCACUUGCUGAACUCACUGGAAACUUUAACAAAUUCGAGACAGUCCCAAUUAUUAAGGCUAAAAUCGAACAUCACCAAAGAGGAGCACCAAGAAACUCGGCAAAACUUUGCAUGAAACUGCUUGAACAAUGCAUAUGACCUCUUACCGUUUUCAAAUCUUCCAAAAGGCUGGAAAACUUACUACUUUCAAGGAAAUUGCCACACUAACCUGGCCGGUUUUCAACCUUCAAGAAAAGUUGAAAUUCUUCGAAGAUAACACUUUGAAUUUUUUAAUGAACCCGCCUAGCUACAUUCGCCGAAAUUUGAACGAGAACUUGAAAUCUUCAGAUACAAAUUUUUAAAAUCUGGACAGAUUUUUCAAAAUCUGUAUUGCUGGAUUCGAGCUUACAAAUAUAUGAAAGUAAGAUCGAACAAGGAUCUAUGAGCUCACAAAUGUAAAUGGCAACUUUAAUGGGAGUGUUUCUCUCACUAAAGUUGAAAGCUUCUCUUUCUAACAUUUUACAUGUUGUGGACUAAGAGCUUUUUGCUACUCGGUGAGUUAAAUCUUAUUAUGAAAACCAUUGGCUUUGAUGAUAACUGGUUUAUAAAAGCUGCGAGAUUAGAUGAUCCUUGGCCUUCUCAACUAGUUCUCGUUAUCUGUAGUUUGCACUACACCACAUCUGCAAAACAAUCUAUUAGAUUUAUUGAAUGAAAAACAAUGUAUUAAACUCCAUAAGGAGAAGAACAAAACACUCCAUUAAAGGAGGAAUUACACUCCAUGAUAGGCGGAACAAACAACUCCAAAAUAGGAGGAUGAUAACAUUCCAUAAUAGGAGGAAUAGAAAGACACUCCACAAAGGAGGAAAGACACUCCAUAUAGGAGGAAGAAACCUCCGUGGAAGGAGGGAUUGGAGACUACAAUCCAAUGAAUUAAAAUGUGUACAAACUCUAGUAUUUAUAGAAAAAAUAACUAGCUAACUAGGAAGUCUCUAGAAUCUGGAAAUUCUGGAAUAAGAAGUAAUCUACCGGACAUGGACUUGGUUGAGCUGGAAGUGAAUAUCCUGUUAAGCUGGAAUAUUCUGCUGAUGUGGAUUUUAUAUUCCAACACACCCCCCUCAAGAUGGACUAGGAGAUCCAUCUUGAAGAUUAAUGAGUGAAACAUGGAUGCAAAUACACUGCUCUUUUGCUUUCUGACAUGGCAGUUCGAGGAAUCAAGCCCAACACAAUCACAUACAAUACUCUCAUCGAUGUUUAUGGAAAAUCAAAGAGGUUACAGAGAUGGAAUCAACUCUUGUACAAAUGCUUUGGUUGCAAGAAUGUGAACCGAAUGCAUGGACCAUGAACUCCACCUUGUGAGCUUUUGCUGGCAGGCUGGCAGCAGGCGAAGGGAUAUAAUGGAAAAGUGCUAUGAGAAAUUUCAGAGUGCUGGGAUUGAAUUGAACAUAAAAAAUUGAGCUCAAUGGGAAUCCAUUCCUUCUUCAAUUGACUAGUGGGAAACUGUCUGCAGAGGAGCUUUGUUAGACAUUUUUCCAAACACCUUGUAUGCACAUCAGAACUUUGAAUUUUCUUUGAUCAUAUACGAGUUGAAUCUCCAUGAUACAGUAACAUAUUCCAGUAUAAUCUUCAAUGACAAGCAUGGAACCUGCUAAACUGAGUAUUCCUCUUCGGUCUCCACUGUGAACGCAUCGAAUUUGCAACUUCGAAUGUUGGUAAACCGAGCUUAAAAGUUGCAGAAGAGGAUGAUUCUAAAUCCGAAAAUGACAUCUAAUUGAACUUUUAUCUCAGCAAUGGAGGUGAAAUUGGAUUAUAUUCAAAUUUGCUUGAGAAAUCACAUUGUCAAUCGGAACUCUGGGAGAAUGCAGCCACCAAGAGUUCAAUGCGUCACACAUAUUUUACCAAAUGAUGGCAGAGAACAGAAUAAUUCCAGCAAAAGUAUUUCAACUUCAGUUAUCAUCUGGAGAUUGGAAGGAUCUGCCAUCACCGACUGAAAUCCAUUGUCCAAUUCUGUCAUUUUCAGGCCUAGACUUCUAGCUAUACAAUUUGAUGCAAAAUUCCACACGGUAGACAACAUCAGUAUUGAUUAAUUGGGGCCAGAUCUGAGUGACGUGUGGAAAAAUAAAGCGGCAGUAGAAAAUUAGAAAAAACUAAAAUAUGAACUUAUUUCUGAUGAAGGAACUAAAAUUUGCUGGAAAUGAAACUUCCAGAAUUAUUCCAAGAUAGAAGAAAAUUAGAUCUGCUUCAUUGAGCAGAACACAUGAAAUGGAGAUGAAUUAAGUCCAGAAAAAAUAGCAGCAGGAAGCAAAUGUUUUGCUCUGAUACCAUAUUAGAUUUAUUGAAUGAAAAACAAUGUAGUAAACUCCAUAAGGAGAAGAACAAAACAUUCCAUUAAAGGAUGAAUUACACUCCAUGAUAGGAGGAACAAACAACUCCAAAAUAGGAGGAUGAUAACAUUUCAUAAUAGGAGGAAGAGAAAGACACUCUACAAAGGAGGAAAGACACUCCAUAUUGGAGGAAGAAACCUCCAUGGAAGGAGGGAUUGGAGACUACAAUCCAAUGAAUUAAAAUGUGUACAAACUCUAGUAUUUAUAGAGAAAAUAACUAGCUAACUAGGAAGUCUCUAGAAUCUGGAAAUUCUGGAAUAAGAAGUAAUCUGCCGGACAUGGACUUGGUUGAGCUGGAAGUGAAUAUCCUGUUAAGCUGGAAUAUUCUGCUGAUGUGGAUUUUAUAUUCCAACACAAAGAGUAGAC
rnacentral:lncRNA from 1 species